rnacentral:rRNA from 1 species
CUUUAAUGUUUGAUGUUCUAACGUGGACCCGUGAUCCGGGUUGCGGACAGUGUCUGGUGGGUAGUUUGACUGGGGCGGUCUCCUCCUAAAGAGUAACGGAGGAGCACGAAGGUUGGCUAAUCCUGGUCGGACAUCAGGAGGUUAGUGCAAUGGCAUAAGCCAGCUUGACUGCGAGCGUGACGGCGCGAGCAGGUGCGAAAGCAGGUCAUAGUGAUCCGGUGGUUCUGAAUGGAAGGGCCAUCGCUCAACGGAUAAAAGGUACUCCGGGGAUAACAGGCUGAUACCGCCCAAGAGUUCAUAUCGACGGCGGUGUUUGGCACCUCGAUGUCGGCUCAUCACAUCCUGGGGCUGAAGUAGGUCCCAAGGGUAUGGCUGUUCGCCAUUUAAAGUGGUACGCGAGCUGGGUUUAGAACGUCGUGAGACAGUUCGGUCCCUAUCUGCCGUGGGCGCUGGAGAACUGAGGGGGGCUGCUCCUAGUACGAGAGGACCGGAGUGGACGCAUCACUGGUGUUCGGGUUGUCAUGCCAAUGGCACUGCCCGGUAGCUAAAUGCGGAAGAGAUAAGUGCUGAAAGCAUCUAAGCACGAAACUUGCCCCGAGAUGAGUUCUCCCUGACCCUUUAAGGGUCCUGAAGGAACGUUGAAGACGACGACGUUGAUAGGCCGGGUGUGUAAGCGCAGCGAUGCGUUGAGCUAACCGGUACUAAUGAACCGUGAGGCUUAACCUUACAACGCCGAAG